rnacentral:lncRNA from 1 species
UAAAAAAGGUUAGAACCUUGGUGGUCUAGAGUGGAAAACAAAUAAGAAGGGGAGAAGGGACUGCAUGAGUUGAGGGGUGCCAUGGCAGCAAAAAUGCCCUCGAGCAAAGCAAAUGGCAGCAGCUUGAAGAAAGUACCAGGCUUUUUUGCGGUCAGGUUUUCCUUUUUUUUGAACCUUUUAUGUUUUUACCGUCUGGUAUAAAGUAAGUCUGGACUUCCUUGUCAGUUGAUGGAUGUUUUCAUCUUAUGUAGAUUUUUCUUUUUGCCUUGUACCGAACUUAUGUAAAAACUGUUAUUAUAGUAUAGUAAUUCUCUCCAUCUCCUUGGCUGUGUGCUGGUGCCUGGCUCUAAACAUCUAGGACCCGGAAGAACAGUCGCUCUGCCAAAAAACUGUGGUCGUGAAAGGGAGAAGUCACAAGGGGGUGCCGGGGUGGGGUAAAUGAAUGAAAUGGAAUGGCAAUGGUGAGAUGCAAGAGGAGGUAGGAGACAAGUGGUUGUCAUGUGCAUGGGGCAUGUGAGAUGGGUCCCACUUUUGCAUGACACAAAAUCCUAGGCGGAUUGCAGCUUCAAUCCUGAUGCGCCCACUUUUUUACCCGGUAGCCCACUAGCUGAUGAUAUCCAGGGGCUACAGACUUUGGAGUUUGCUGUGAAUGUGAGGGAAUACUUUCCCAUCAUAAUUAUGUGACUUGAGGUUGCUUGCUUCCCUUGCAAAAUAUGAUGGUUUUGCCUACGUCCCUGACUGCCCUGCGAUUCCUUUCUACUCCUACCGUACCGUGUGGCUUGUCAUACCUUGUAUUUUACUUAUUAUUAUUUUAAUGCGAAAAAUUUCCGUAAAACCCCAAUAAUAAUAAUAAUAACAAUAACAAUAACAAUAAUAAUAAUACAUGGGGCUGUUUGAAAGCUACUCGUAUUAGUUUAUUGAAUUUCAUGCAUCAGUUUUGUAUACUAUUCAAAGUAGGCAAUUGUUUCAAAAUGUAAAAUGCUUCUACCAUCAUCUUUAGACUUACCGUGGGUUCGCAUCCACAAGUUUUUAGUAUAAAAGUAAGUCUGGAUUUCGUUGUCAGAUAUGAUUCCAAUAGUUGAUGUUUCCAAAAUUGCGGGGAGUAUGAUACAAAAUGGGCUUUUUUUCCCCUUUAACACUACAUACUCAAGCGCUCAUUUAUACGCGUAUACACUCACCUCUAUGAACGCGCACACACCCUAUCCCUAUGAGUAUCUCCGAGAGACUGAGCCGACAUAUCAUCUUGAGAUUUUACGAAGUCACGUCGGUGCCUCGCAGUCGGCCGAAACGUCUUUUUGAAUCCUGGUGGGCCGGGGAUAUCACUGGCCACCUAACCAUCCAACCACUGGUUGGUUCGCAUACAUAACGAGGCUUGAUGUGUCCACCUUGAGCUAUUCUUUGCCCAUAUAAUUUUCUCACUUAUUUGAGUUUAAUUAAUCUUCCAUGAAAUAAAUAUAUCAGUGGUUCACAAACUCUCAAACCAACAACACCGUUUUGUCCCUAUCUCUCAUGCAAGAGACCGGGCAAAACCCUAGGCGCUGCCACCUCGUCCUCUCCCUUCUCCCCGUUCCCCUUGCUGCCACCAAGGUGUGGCGGCGGGGAUCCUUUUUCUCCUCGCCUGGUCUACUACGGUGCGGGCGUGACGUCUAGGUAGUGACUCCUCGCUUUGGCGUAGGGCAUGGCACUGGUGGCGUGGUUGGGCAAUGGCUGCGUGGAGAUGGUGAUGUUCGUCCCCCCUUUCCGUCUUCGGAUCCUCCUUCCUCGACUUCCUGCACGAAGCCCAUUGGCUGGGCUCCAGAUCCGAAAGUCCCGAUGACCGGUUGCAUCCUCAUCGGCCGAUGGGGCCAGGUGGUGCAUCAUUUUGGAUCCCUUGCCAUGUGGGGUGUCAUCUUCCUGGGAAGUUGUGGCCGUAGCCAGGGGCCAGUGGUUGCCUCCUCCUCCUCAUGCAGUGGUCGGGAUGCCGCCGAGGUGGUCAUUGUACUCGUCGUUGCGUGGUAGGGAAAGACAGGGAUGGUUGCCCCCGUCCAGAUCUGGUAUAUGUUGACCGAUUUGGGUUCGCUGGUCGCCGCCGCAGACGGUAGUGGCACCGGCGUGGUGUGCGCCUUCGUCCAUGGUAUGACGUGGGACUGGAAGGGAGGAGCCUUUCCGUCUCAAUAGCGGUGAGUGAGGUGUUCGGGGUUUGGAGUUGGUGUGCGGGGUCGAGGUUGGGAACUUGGAAGUCGGGACGCUGACCUCGGGUGGUGGUAUGUCGGAUUGGCUUUUCAGCACGCGUCUUGGCGGCGAUGAUGGUUGCAUCUUUUGGUCAUUGGGCGGCGAAGGAUGUAGCACUCGGUAAUGCUGGUCUCGGCGGUGGCGGUUCCUAGAUCAUGUUUUGGAGGUCAUGUUUGGUGGUGGCCUUUUUUUCCUCGGGGUGGAUUGGUGCUCUUGGUUCCUCGAGUGGCACGGGUGAGAGGGCCCAGGCAAAAGCCUUGUGCUCCGGCGCUAACAAUGCUGAUGCUCGUGGGUAUCGCAUCCCUCUUGGGGGUGCCGUUGUGGUCCUUCUCGCCAAGUCAUGGCUCCAGGUGAAAACCCUUGACCUACCCUCGGUCUCGAUGGCUGCGAUGCGUUGCUUAGUCUUUCUCCUGAGGACUUCGUCGUGGAGCCUAGGUUUCCUUAGGUGCACCGCGCCGUCAUCGGCGGACAUUUUUGGAUCCUGGCUUGAAGCUUCCUCGGCUCUGGCGCGGGGAGCUACACUCGCCCCCUUAUCUUAUACAUGGGACCUUGUUGGCGCCCUACUGUCCUUGUUAUCUGCUGGCAGGUUUGGGCUCAACGGUCCAAGAGGGACGUCAAGAGGCUCUCCUGGGCAACAACUUGGUGUGAGGGGUGGAAAGAGAUCCGGUGAUUUCCCUUGGCGACUAGUCUUCCUCGUCGGUAGUCUAGGUUGCUUUUGUGGUAGGGUGUGGGUUCUCCUAUAUUGUUAUUUUUCUUUGAUAUAUGCUUUGUAAGAGGAUCUCCUUAUCAGCAUGCUGCAUCGGUUUGAUUGUGUUGCUUUAUAUAUAAAAUAAAGCGGACGGGAGCCUUUUUCUGUAAAUGAAUAUGUCAGUGAUGACAAACUGGAUCAUAAAAAAGGAGAAAUGUGUUGGUGCAUGGAGCUGGUGACGAAGGAGACCUAGAAACAGCACAACUCAUCCGCAAAAAAAAAAAAAAACAGCACAACUCAAAAGUUCCAGGUUUGCCUUUCGAAUAAGCAACUACAUGUCCAGUCAGGAAUGGGAUAUCCGUGGUAACGACAUCGGAACAAGUCCUUGCGUGUGCCCAUAACAUUUUCCUUUCAUUUUUAGCUCUCAUCUAAUCCCAGCCCUCCAUAUCCAAUUGGGCGACAGGCAAUCAACCGAAUGAUGUGCGUGGCAGAGGAUCCUAACCCCAAACAAACAGCAGGUAGUGAGAUGUGGUGGGUGAUGAAGAUGAUGGUGAUGGAAUGCCAUGGGCGACCGUUGGUUAGCACAUUCACAUCACCCGAUCAUAACCAACAUUCUAUAGAUUUGCAUAAGGAGAAAAUUAAUUAAACACCAACUUGAUUUGUUCUCUGGCAAGCUCUGGCUAAACAUAGAUGUGUUGAGCUCUGGGGAUCCUAAGUUAAGUGAGGUCCAGACUGACAACUUAAUUAAACACUGUGAGAGUCUUGCUCAGCACAUAUGCAUGGCCAUGUGCAGAUAAGUGACCACGUCCUUUUCUUGUACUGGCGGGCCUGGGAAUUCAAUGUGGCAUCACAUGCCUGGUGAAGCAAACAAAUUAGCUAAGCCAGAAGAGGGUAAAUCAUGGCAGGGAAUUGAUUAUUACUAGGAGUACAAUGGAUUUCAUCAGAACGGGAAUAUUCCAGGACCGGCAAACGAUGACGACAUGUGUGGAUUCAAAAAUUGCAAGCUUGUUUCUUUGUUGGCAUUUCAGAAAAUGUAUAUGGUCCCAAAACCAAAGGUCCUCCUGUUCAGUUUGUAAUGCCCACAUGGUGGCCGUUUGACAGAUAUGCAUAUUUUAGAUCAUUGAGCUAGCUACAUCUCGGAGUUACACUACCACAUCCGCUCCAAAAUAAACUAUGCUUUAAUGCACCUGGAUGAACAGUAAAAAUACAAAAAGGGUACUUUUUUAAAAAAAUAUUUAUUUUUGUCAGAAAAACAUUGAGGAGUGCUUAACAUGGGUGUGAAAUUUCGUAAUGAAAUAACAUUCGCGGAGCACUGAUUUUUGAAAGUAUUUUGGGGCACUGAUUAUUUUUGCCACACAUCCAUGAAUGCUAUUUCAUCACAAAAAUUUGCACUCGCGCCAAAAGCUAAGCAAUGUUUAUUCUCAAAAAAACUCAAAACCUUUUGAAUUUCUUCUAUUUUUUUGGAUUUUACUGUUCAUACCAUGUGCCUGUGAGCCUAGGACUAGAAGCACAUAUUCAUAAUAAAACUUCUUUAUCUUUGACAAAUUGUAAUCAACAAAAAAUGAUUGAUUAGGUUGAAAUAAUACCCAGGACAAUGGGUAGUCCUACUACGUAGAGAUAGGAUUUCCUGCUCCCGAACUUCAUGGAGUCCUUAGGAAAAAAAUUAAAAAGGAGAUUUAAUGUUUGAAAUUCUGGCAAAAAUACACAUGUACACAGAUACGUAUGCUACGUUCCUGUAAAUUUUCAUGAUGAAAUAUUUGUUGGUGUGAGCUUGACCAAAAUAAUAGUAAUAAUAAUGGACUUUUGUAAUUUAUAGUACAUGUGCUAAAAUACACGAUUUUUAUCCUUCUUGAUAGCUAACAUAAAUCAUAUUUCAUCGUCAAAAUUUACAGAAAUGUGGUAUAUAUCUCUAUUUACUCCCUUUAUUUCUUUUUAGUCUGCAUAUAAAAUUUAUAAAAAGUCAAACUAUAUAAAGUUUGACCAACUAUGUAGAAAAAAAUAUCAACAUCCAAAAUACAAAAUCAAUAUCAUUAGAUGCAUCAUGGUGUUAAUUUUCAUACUAUAUAACUUUGGUAUUGUAGAUAUUGAUAUAUUUUAAUAUAAAUUUGGUCAAACUUUGUGAAGUUUGACUUUAAAUCAUCUUAUACACGGAGUAAAAAUAAACGAAGGGAGUAUGUGUGUAACAAACUCUAGAGUUCUUUUAACCUCAGAACAUGAAUUAUGAUUUUUUUUCAAAAAUCCAGGUUCCAUGAGCCUGGAAUCUAAGGCAUUUUAGUACUAAGUAUUUCUACACAAUAUAUAUACAUAGUAUAAAAGCCAUACAUGCCUAAAAGGGCUUUCCCAGUGCUCCAAAGUGUACUAUAUCUAAAAUAUAUUGUCAAAAUAAAAAUCUAAUGUGAAAACAUAUGUAAUGAGGAAAGAGAGUACUACUAUAUCUUAAGCUAGAUAUAGCUAUAAGCAUAGAAAAGAAGGAAGCCUUUUCUUUUACAAGUCAUAUUAAAAGAAAGGGAUAAUUAGAUUUAUGCCCUUAGUUGUGUCCCACUCAGCUGUUUUACCCCUAAUUUUUAGAAGUCACUGGUUCUGCCCAAGUCACUUCGCUCCUCUUAUUCAUUUGCCCUUUGCCCGUUUGAUCGCCACCUUGAAAACUUCAUAACUAAUUCAUACUAAAUCAAAAAUUGCAAAUAAGAUAUCAAAAUGUUCGGAAAAACGUCACCUAUAGGCCAGUGCCAUUUGCAUUCAUGACAAAAGUGUUGGAAAGUGCCCACCGAGUUUUAGCUCUUAUGAUACCACCAUGAAUAGUAAAAUAAGAGCUAAAACUAUUUUGGUAUAUGUGGGCACCACCAUGAAUAGUCCGUAGGCCAGUGACAUUUAUGAGUACCUAGUAGUUAAGUACCAUCACGUACCUAGUACGCUUUCCAUUCUGUAUAUGUGGACACCUGGGCCAAGGAGGCGGUCGAGCCUACGGACUAGCGUGUUGGCAUCCAGCGGGCCGCGGACAAGGCGAACGGCGGCAUCCAUGCGAACGGCGCGGAGGGCGUCCGGUGCAAGUACGACAUGGCCGGCCUCUGGUGCAAGUACGACGCUGAGGGCCUCUUCCCACUCCUGGCGAGGAAUGGGGGUACUGACCGGACGUGUACCCAGCUGCAACGCCGUGUCGAUAGCAGGUAAGCGCCGAUGGAUCCGCUCUUGCUGUGCAGCGCGCGGCGCCUCUCGCUCUGCGGUGCUCCAACGGUCUUGCUGUGUGGCGAGCCAUAGCCUAUCGGCGCGGGCGCGCCUAGCUUGCUCUGCGGCGCGCCAUCGAUCAUGUUGUGCGGUGAGCUGCAGCCUGUCGGCGCUGACAUGCCUAUCUUGAUCCGCGGCGCUCAAGCGUCAUUUGCCAAAGGUCUGCUCAACCCUGGAGAUGAUGCGCAUCACAGCGUUGUCCAUCACGUUGCCGGGGAGCGCAUCGGCCUCGACGGGCCGUGGCGCCUGCUCGUUUUUCUCGUCGACGAGGUUGAUGGCAGAGGCAGCGCUUUGGUGGGUUGACAUGCUUGGAAAAGGUGGAUCUGCUACAGGAUGCACUUGUCGCCUCCGUGCGUCGCGCGCCGCCUAUGGCAAUAUCGCUAGGUGGUGGGAAACAGGUGAGGAAAUGGCGGGAAACGGUGGCGUGUUCAUAAAACGCCAUCUAUUAAUGGAAACUUAGUAUAGAAGGAAUAUCAACCUAACACAAGAAGGAGAUGAUGAUCAGAUGAACACAGACCAUACUAGGGAACCGUUUCUGUUAUUAUCGGUAUUCACACACAUUUUUGAUUACAGACCUGUUUGUGGCGUAUCACAAACAUCUUGUUAUAUUAAACCGUUUCUGUUCUCUUGCCUCAACACAAACAGUUCAUCCAAGUGAACCGCAUGCCGUAUAUCGCACACACCUUCAUCUGGCUGCCCGUUUCUUUUGUGUUGCCUAAUCACAAACAGUUCAUCCGAGUGAAUCAUAUGUUGUACAUCGCACACACCUUCAUCUGGAUGCCUGUUUCUUUUGUUCUUGUCAUCGCAAACGGUUAACUGAACUGAACUGUAUGCCCUCAAUCGCACACACAACUAAAAUCUGAACCAUGUUUGAUGCAUCCUCCAUCACAAAUGUUUUGCACCUUUUUUGACGGUUUUUACACGACCGUUUGCGAUUAUGGCAUCACACACAGUUUCGUCGAAGGGUCUUUGAUCGUAGUGUCGCGUUAGCAGCAUCCCGCAGUAGUGUAUGAAUUAGUUAUGAAGUUUUCAAAGUGAAGGUCAAACAGUCAAAGCGCAAAUGCAUAGGAGGAGCGAAGUGAUUUGGGCAGAACUGGUGACUUUUGGAAAUUAGGGGUAAAACAACAGAGUGGGACACAACUAGGGGCAUGAAUCUAAUUAUCCCUAAAAGAAUGACUUUUAGAUACAGCUCAAAUAUACUACUCCAUCAGAGCAUCUUCAACAGUUCGUGUAAAAAGCUCCUUGUAAAACCACUUCACGAGAUGUCCAUAAAACUUAGUGGAAGUUGACAUGUGAGUUGUUUUCUCAGAUCUCAUAAAUAUCUUCCCUAAAUCAAUUUUUAUAUAUUUCCCAUUAAAGAAGCAUACAAAUGGCACGUGCAUGUAUAUACUAUCAUCAUAAUAAUUCGAAUGAGGUUAUUUCUGAUACACAUACUUGAUACUCAUAUCAAAUCCACAAAUUUAUGAAAUUCCGUUUGAAAUUCACAUUCAAAAGGAAACAUACAAACCCGGUAAAUGAUUAAAAGUGGACAUAACAAAUGGUUCAAACACGAAGAUCAAAUAUGCAACAUAUGGUUCACCUAAACAAGGACAUCAACACAUAAAGCAUAAAUAGAAAAUCAAUCAUAGAACAUCACUGCUGACUUCUAUCACCAUUGCCACUCCAGCACAUCCGCAAUUCCUAUCAUCUUUGGUGCUUAAAUUACUACCUUAAUGAUCUCAAGAUAUUGUAGUUGGGCUACCUCAACUCAUGCAAGGUUAGUGAACAUGCUUUUGUAUUCUUGCUCCAUUUUUUGUCUGCAUUUCGUGUGCAAAGAUAUUUGGCUUCUCUUCUUCGAUUGAAGUCUUGCGUUCCUCACAUGCACUUUUUUAUUCCCUCUUACUUUUGCUUGCUAUGAUAUCUUCCACCUCAAUCUUGAACACAAUUACAUCUCCAUUUUUGUCUUUCUCACCUUUCCUUUCGGGUGGCCCUUUUGUAGGGAGCUUGGGGUAGUGGUGGGUUUAGGAUUUAGGACUUCAUCGACAUGAUCAUUGGUAUCUUCAUUGUUGUGCACUUGUGUAACUGACGAUGAUUUGGCCUUCCUCCUCCGGUGAAGAUGCUCAUUUUCCCUAAUUUUUUACUUCACAUUGAUCUAGAGAAAUGCCCAAUAAUGGUACAUGAAAAAGACUUAUUUUUUUGGAUCCCUAUGCUCGUACAUGUUGUUUGUGUAGCCGAGUUUGCAAGUUUAAAAUUUCACAUUAGAAACCAGGGAUAAACAAUUUAUAGAAAAUUUUGAACAACAAAUACUCAGUAGCAUGUCAUGUGUCAUUACACUAGGUUUGACAUGUUCUACAUCAGUAACAGAACCUGCCCAAGGAGUGCAAGAUUCCUAAAUCAAGGCUCAUCAACCAUCGAGUGGCUUAAUGGAGUGCUCAAUUGAAACAAACACAUUGCAAUGACAGUGAUCUACAAUGUGCUUCCAGUAGGGCUUUAUGCUUUGAUCGGUCCUUGUUGUCAGAUCAGUGCGUACACAAUGGCAUGCCAUGACCGACGCUUUAUCCUCCUCCAUGGAGCAGUUGCUCCCCAUGUUAUUUGUUUUCGAAGCAAAAUCAUCGUCAUCCUCAAACAUAGUGGACAAAGAGAUAUCAUGUAUGCUUACUGCCUCAUUGAUCAUCUUCAUAUAUGAAUGUUGACUACAUUAUCGUAAUUACGAAAGUAAUGAGCAAUACAAAUUUCCAUGUAAAAUUAUGAUUGUGAAUUGUACAAAUUAAACAAAUGAAGACCAAUUUUUUACCUUUGCAUUCGUUUCAUUGUAUGGCUCGUUGACAUUGUACAUGUUGAAGUCGUCAUCGGCCUCAAGGAAGGCCGACAACAUCCGCGUGAAGGCCAGGUGAAGGUUGGCAGCGAAGGUGCCAUCAUGGAGGAAGGACCAGCCAUGGCCUCACCCUUCCCUUUCUUCGACACUCGUGGCUUCCACGCCGGUGCGGCGGGGAUCGAUGGUGGGGUAGGCCCGCUUGCCCGCGAGAUCGAGCAGGCCGGGUAGGCGGUUGUCGGUGUCAAAACCGGCGGAUCUCGGGUAGGGGAUCCCGAACUAUGCGUUUGAGGUUGAUGGUAACAGGAGACAGGGAACACAAUGUUUACGCAGGUUCAGGCCCUCUCGAUGGAGGUAAAACCCUACGUCCUGCUAGAUUAAUAUUGAUGAGUAUGGGGGUUACAAUAGUUGAUCUACCACGGGAUCGUAAUGGCUAAAACCCUAGAAGUCUAGCCUAUCUGAUUAGGAUUAUCAUCGUUCCCCUCUAAGGAUCUAGCCUUCCGGUUUAUAUAGACACCGGAGGGAUCUAGGCUUACAUAAAGUCGGUUAUAGUGAAAGGAAUCUUCAUAUUUGGUCGCCAAGCUUGCCUUCCACACCAAGGAGAGUCUCAUCUGGACACUGGUAGAGUCUUUGGUCUUUGUAUCUUCACAGCUCAUCAGUCCGGCCCAUGGCUAACAGGCUGGACGCCCGAGGACCCCUUAGUCCAGGACUCCCUCAGUAGCCCCUGAACCAGGCUUCAAUGACGAGGUGUCCGGCGCAUAGAUUGUCUUCGGCAUUGCAAGGCGGGUUCCCUUCUCCAAAAUAGUCUUCGGAUGCAAAGAAUGUAUCCGGAUCUGUAACCCAAGUACCACACACAACCGCAGAGAGUAUAAUUUUUCAUGAGUCAAAUACGCUGACAACUUUUUGUAAUGUGAUAUCACGUCCUUGCCCGAUUAUUAUUUCAAACCGUUUUUCGGCCUGCCCCUUCGUAUUUCAAGAUGCGGUUUUAUUAGCACGUCUUGUCAAAGCAGAGAUCGUGUCCCCUUAUUGCGGGAUCCUCAUCAAACGGGUAUGGGCAAUCCAACCGUGCCACCUGCAUGACCUAGGGAAUAGGCGAGUUUCAUGGCGAGUGGGGAGGCAUUUGAUAUUCACCGUCUUUAUAAGGAGAUAAGGAUUCCCUUUCUUCACCCACACCUUCUCUCUUUCUCCGCCCUUCCAUUCUCGAGCUCUAGCGCCCAAGUCCUCAUCUUUUCCGCCUCAAGGAAGCACUCAACCAUGUCCGGAUCUGGAGGGCAAGGCAAGUGGAUGGCCUCCUCCGUUAAGCAGAAGGACAUCACCAAGCUUUCAGAGGCCGGGUAUCUGGCGAAAGAAAUCGCCCACCGGCUUCCAGCCAAGGGGCAAAUUGUCCCCACCCCGAAGCCUAAUGAGAGGGUGGUGUUCAUCCCCCACUUCGUCCGCGGGUUAGGGUUUCCUCUCCACCCUUUUGUCCGCGGACUUAUGUUCUAUUAGGGGCUAGAUUUCCAUGAUCUAUCCCCGAACUCUUUCCUCAACAUCUUGACAUUCAUUGUCGUGUGUGAGGCCUUCCUCCGCAUCCAACCCCACUUCGGACUGUGGCUCAAAAUCUUCAAGGUGAACCCGAAGGUGGUGGAUGGCCAGCACGCGGAGUGCGCAGGUGCCAUGGUGAGCAAGCUGCCCAAUGUCACGUGGCCCAAAGGUACUUUUGUGGAGACCGUCAAGGAGUAGCAGAAACUUUGGUUCUAUAUCACAGAGCCCCGCGAUGCCACCUAGGCUGUGGCUCCCGAAUUCAAGUCCGGAACUCCAAUGUGGCUCACCUCCUCGAUAGAGAAGGGCCCAAAUUGGUCUUCGUCGGACGAAUUGAUUGCACUGCAGACGUGCAUCCAAAGCAUGGUGGAUAAAAACAUCAAGCUCGUCGACGUGAUCCAGGUGAUGCUAGUUCGCCGGAUCCUCCCAUGCCAAAGCCGAACUUGCCCUUUAUGGGAAUUCGAUCCGAAGAAGCACCAAACCUUGGAAAGGCUCUUCGGAACCGCUCACGAAGAUGCCUGGAUGUUGCUCUUUAAGGGCAAUGAGACGCCACCGGCCAUAGACUCGGACCGCGGGCACGAUCUUGUCCAUCCUACCAGUGAGGUAAGUCUUUCAUGUCUCAAGGUGUAUCCUCUACUUGCUUGUUCCGGGAGGAUAUCUAAACUUUACUAUUUUUUAUUUUUUCAGGUAUGGACAGAGAAAGCGGAGCGGAUUCAAUGUUCGGCUCCGCUGCUCGAGGAACCAGUCAUCCCGCUCCUGGCGAAGAUGCUGGUCCCGACGCCCUAUCAGGUGCUGAAGAAGAAGGCCAAGGGGGUCCAGAGUGGUCCCCGCCGCAAGGGAGCUUUGGAUGUGUCGUCCGAAGAAAAGACUCACUCCUCCGCCGCCGAAGACAAUGAUGAGGAGGAGGAAGAAAGUAACUCUCCCUUUGAUGGGGGGAGGAAGAAGAGGGCGGCCUCCGCAAAUCUAGAGGCGGAGGCGCCCAAGAGGGGGAAGGGCCCCCUUGCGGAUAACUCCAUGUGGGACGUUGACAGCAGCCCGGAGCGACGCCCCCGAAAUAAGCCCCUGGCUGCAUCGGAAGUACUAGAAACCCACAUACGUCCAUGUACUCGGUCUCUCUUCAUGGUAUGAACAUGUUUAAUCAUGCUAUUGCAGUCCGGCCCACAACAGCUCCCUGCGAUCCUCAUCAGGAGGUUCACUGGAUUCGAAGGCGAUGGCCAGCGAGUCUCCGCCGGCUGCUCACUCUCCCAAGGCCAAGGGCGACACCGAGGUGCUGUCUUGAAGGACCUUCCCAAGCCAAGAGGAGGUUCAGGAGGCCGUCAGGGAAGCGAUGGAGGGUGAAACCUUGGAUGCCGAACACCUGGGGGGGGGGGGCAGAUCCCCAUGGAGAUCGGCGAUCGGGGCCAUGUUCAGUUUGGCCCCCAGCCGGAUACGGUUCCGGAGACCUAUACGGCUCCGAAAUCCGGCGAACAGCCUCCUUCGAGAGAAGGAGGUGUGCCUAUCUCGCCGGUGACCUCUGUCCAACCAGAGGCACCGGAUAAUCUGUUGGAAGCGCUACGAGGCGCUUCCAUUGUGGAUGAACACCGUAUCCUUAUGUGGACGGUGAUUGAGAGGGUUCAGUCUGUCAAGAGCAGACUAACCGAAGCUGCAGCAGCCUGUUGACAAGUUUUGAGGUAAGUGACGUAAUAGAGAAAGUCCCAACAUAGACAGUGUAGCCCUGAGACACUGUCCGGUGUUCAGAAAGAAAAGCCUGACAGAGGAUCAAGAAAUUUUCACAGGAAACUAACUAAAUAUGUCUUAUGAACACAGGCGUCGCUGCUGGCCGCCACCUCUCAUGCCGCUGAGGUCUCCGGACUAAAGCAGAGUCUGGACCGGGCUAAAGAAGAGCUCUGCCUUGUGAAAAGGCGGCUGGAGGAUAGGCAAGGUAUGUGGAGACUUGCUAUAUGUUCGGAAAGAAUAAACGAUGUAUAUUGAUUGUAGUGCCGUGAUAUUUGUAGGAGCGGCGACUGAGGUUGAAACCCUCAAGAAAGUGCUGGCCGAGGCCGAGGAGAGGGCGGCGAAGGAACGAGCCAUCUGAAAAAAGCAUGAGGCCAGGGUUAGGGAGGUCCAGCAGGAGCUCCAGGAUGCUUCGAAGAAAUACGAGUCCUUGGAGCGUCAACAUGUGGACCAAGAAUCCAAACUCGUUAAGGUCCACCAAAGCGCAUAAGAGGCCCGAGCCGAAGCCCAAGGCGCCCUCCGAGAGAUCCAGGAGGCCAAGAAGAUCGUGGUGGGUAAGGAUUUCAUUAUGCAAAGAAAGUAUGUGAGCCCGAGGUAUCUUUUACUGACUCGGAUUUGGAGUUCUCCAAGGGCGUUUGCAGAUUUGCCGCGCAGUGUUUCUGGCGCUGCAGAAUUCUUCCGGGCCGAAGAGGGGAGCUCAAUGGAGAAGUUGUUCUAGUCACAAUACCUUGCCCCAGAACACCCGGUGCCCUUUAGCGACCAACUAAAGCAGUUGGUCGAGCUGCAUAGGGUGGCCGGACUAGCCAUGAAGGAUUUAAUAAUCCGGCUGUGGCCUACAGAAGCUAUACCCGACAGCUACUUCGGCCUCGUGAAGUGGCUGGUCAAUGCCUGCCCGCGGCUAGAUGCCAUCAAGCGGUCGGUCUGCAUAGAAGGUGCGCGGAUGGCCUUCGCCCGCGUCAAGAUACAAUGGGCGAAGAUGGAUGCCGUCAAACUCGCGACGGAAGGACCGCCUGCAGGCAAGGAGCACCGCACGCCCGAGCGGUAUUUUGAAGAUGUUCUGAAGGGAUCCCGCAUUGUGGCGGAGCAAUGUGCUAAGGACAUAAUUUUUGAAUGAAUACAGUCAUGUAAUCCCUCCCUGUAUGAUAAAAACAAGGCUUGAUAUGUAAUAUAAUGCUUUGCUAUUUUGCUUAGUUAAAAAAUUUACCUCCUGCGCGGCCGUUUUUAUCAAAUUUGAGAGUUGGCCAGUCAUCGGCUUCAGCCCCCACGUAGGUAGUACGGGGGUGUUCGGGAUGAAUCUAAACAUGCUUUAUCCAAGAGUUUGGUCCUUAAAGGAGGUGUUUAGCGCAAUGAACCGGGCAAUCGGACUAUGUGGCUUUAUUACCCUCACUUAGCCACAGGAGUUUGACAAAUGAAAAUAUAGGCGCAACCCCUAGUGUCCAGACUAGGGUGUUGUAAACACCUGAUCGGAUGAGAACCGAUUCGUCGCGUAAUGCGGGAAAGAUCGCUAAAGAUUUGAAACCUCCGAAGAGCUGACCGGCUCACGCCGUAUCAUGACAGUCAGUUUUCGGCUUUCUCUACUGAGGUGCUCAUCCAGAUAAACCGGGACACAAUCGCAGUAGUUCUCCCUUUACUACCCUAGCCGAUAUAGCGAAACGUAAGGUAGUAAGCACAGGAGCCGGGCAACCCAACUAUUGACCAAAGACAUGAUUCGGAGCCGAUGCAUAUAAUGCUAAAUUCAGGAUGCCGAACUAUAGUAUAAAAGUGUCCGGACUUGUUGCCAUAGUGUGGGGCGCAAUAAAGCCCCUGACGGAUUAUGGCGUACCAAGGUGUACGAAAGCAAAUUAAAAUAGCAAAAAUAAAAAUAAUGAAGAAGAAGGUGCCACGUAUGUUGGGCCACAAAUUGUUUCCAUUAUAAUUUUAAUUAAUAUGUCAGAGUGUACGUGAACAAAAAAGUGCGAGAAGCAACAGUGGUUAUUUGACAUGCCAAGACCAAGGAGGAGCUGCGUACGGGUCCUGAAGACAGGUAGAGUGAUCGCCAAGAGGGACAUCUAGAGAUUCCCCCACACAUCUGUGCUACUUGCCACCUUGGUGUAUCCGUUCUUCAAAAGGAUCGAUUAUGAGGCCGGCGAGAGGUACCUGCGGAAAGGAAACCUGAGGAGGGAAAAAGGAAAAAGUGAAAGUAUGCGUGUCCAGUGGAGGUCGAGCCUUAUUGUGGAUCACAAUCUAGUUAUGCCUCCGUCUGUGCCCACGGUAUUUUGAGUGUGUAGUUAUGUACGCGUGGCACGAACGCCGUCACUUGGUGUGGUCUGGGAUGGAGGCCGAAUUGCUAGUUGAGCUCUUGACAAGCUGGGCUGUCUUGGCGCAUGGUAGUCCGGACUCGUUUGACAGUGUCCGGGAGUAUGGCUGCCGAAUUAAGGUUAUAUUUGCGGAGGGCGCUCUGUACUUCUGUUGCCAGGGCAGCAGUGUGGUCCUCGGUACGGAGGGAGCGCUCCGUAUUUCCAUUGAAUGUUAUGACACCGCGUGGUCCGGGCAUCUUGAGCUUGAGAUAAGCAUUGUGCGGCACCGCAUUGAAUCGGGCAAACGCAGUUCGCCCGAGCAAUGCGUGAUAGCCACUGCGAAAGGGGACGAUAUGGAAGAUUAACUCCUCGCUUCGGAAGUUGUCCGGAGGUCCGAAGACGACCUCCAAUGUGAUUAAGCCCGAGCAACGGGCCUCUACACCUGGUAUAACUCCUUUAAAGGUGGUGUUGGUGGGCUUGAUCCUUGAUGGGUCGAUGCCCAUUUUGCGCACUGUAUCCUGAUAAAGCAGGUUGAGGUUGCUGCCGCCAUCCAUGAGGACUCGUGUGAGAUGAAAUCCAUCCAUUAUUGGAUCGAGGACCAGUGUGGCCGACCCCUCGUGACGGAUACUGGUCGGAUGGUCCCUGCGAUCAAAAGUGAUCGGGUAGGAAGACCAUGGGUUGAACUUUGGGGCGACUGGCUCCAUUGCGUAGACGUCCCUGAGCGCGCGCUUGCAUUCUCUCUUGGGGAUGUGGGUAGCGUAUAUCAUGUUUAUUGUUUUAACUUGGGAGGGGGGACUUCUUCUGUCCUCCUGUGUUCGAUGGCCGGGGCUCCUCGUCAUUGUCUUCGCUUUGCGACCCCUUCUCCUUGUUCUAUGCAUUUAACUUGCCGGCCUGUUUAAAAACCCAACAGACUCUGUUGUUGUGAUUGGCUGGUUUGUCAAGAGUGCCGUGUAUCUGGCAUGGGCAAUUGAGUAUGCAGUCCAAGCUGGAUGGGCCCGAAUUGUUCCUUUCGAACGGCUUCUUCCGCUGGACGGACUUGGAGCCGCUGAAUCCGGCGUUGACCGCCAUGUCAUCGGUAUUGUCACCGUUGUUUUGACGCUUGUGUCUGUUGCAUCGGGGCUUGCCGUUGCUAUUCUUGGCUUCCACAGUGCCAAGUUCGCUUGCCCUGUUUUUGCUACGAGCUAGCCAGCUAUUUUCGCCCGCGCAAAAGCGGGUCAUAAGUGCCAUAAGGGUUGCCAUGGACUUCAGCUUCUCUUGGCCGAGGUGUCGGGCGAGCCAUUUGUCCCGGAUGCUGUGUUUGAAGGCCGCCAAGUCUUCAACAUCCGGACAGUCGAUGAUAUGGUUCUUUUUAUUUAAGAACCUAGUCCAGAGUUUCCUGGCCGACUCUCCAGGCUGUUGAAUUAUGUGACUUAAGUCAUCGGCAUCCGGAGGUCGAACAUAUGUAUCUUGGAAGUUGUCAAGGAAGGCUUCUUCCUAGUCCUCCCAGCUGCCAAUAGAAUUUUUGGGCAGGCUAUUCAGCCAGUGUCGGGCUGGCCCUUUGAGUUUUAGGGGGAGGUAUUUAAUGGCAUGAAGGUCAUCGCCGCGGGCCAUAUGAAUAUGGAGAAUAAAGUCUUCAAUCCAUACCGCGGGGUCUGUGGUUCCAUCGUAUGAUUGGAUAUUCACGGGUUUGAACCCUUCUGGGAAUUCAUGUUCCAUGACUUCAUCAGUGAAGCAGAGAGGGUGUGCGGCGCCUCUAUAUCGGGCCAGUUCGUGACGUAGUUUGGAUGGAAUCCGUCUGCGGCUUUCGGCUCGGACGUAAUUGUACUUGCCAUGUUUGGCUUGAUAGCUAUCCUCGUGCGUCGAGGCAUGCCCCCGUGAUCCGUAGAUUGAUCUAGUCAGACCUGUUUUAUUCUUCAGGCCCUGCCGGAGAUCAUAUGUUUAUCCCUGAGCAGUUUUGUCUCUGCCUUUACGGCGAGGUAAGGCAGGCUGGUGUUCGGCCUGUGUUGCCGCUUUGUCCCGGCCGCGUGGCGGUCGGUCAGCCGCACUGUGCGCUGAUGACACGGGCCCCAGUGCCUCAUCAUCGAAUUGAGGUAGUAAUUUGCGAUUCGGAUAACUUUUGAGUGGUCGCUUGAGGCCAUAUUCCUCGGCUUCCAGGACGUUAGUCCAUCUGUCAUUGAGCAGGUCUUGAUUAGCUUGAAGCUGUUGCUGCUUCUUUUUCAGGCUCCUUGCAGUGGCUAUUAGCUUGCGCUUGAAGCGCUCCUGCUCGAGAGGUUCCUCAGGCAUGAUAAAAUCCUCAGUGCCGAGGCUUGCCUCACCCUCGAAAAGCGGAAGAUAAUUACUGUCCUCCGAGUCUUCGUGCGUAGCCUGUUCACCAGGGCUAACUUGCCUGUCUUCCUGUUCAUUUUGUUCGGCAGUUGCCUCAACGGGGUCUUCAUUGUCUUCGGUACCGUCCAAAGUGUUAUCUUCUUCUGUGCCGGUGUUGCUGUCUUUGCUGCGGCGUGACUUAGAGCGGUGCCGCUGAUGCCAGCGCUUUGGUUGUAUCUUGGGAGGUUUAUCCUCAACUGGAUCUUUCUUGUCAUCGCCGCUAUUCUCUUUGGUGCAUCCACCAUGUAUACGUCAUACGAGGAAGUGGGCGUCCAACGUCCGGUAAACGACGGGUUUUGGGCCUCUUCUUCUCCGACAUCGUCGUCCAUACCAUUGAUGUCGUCGGAGCCGUAAUCGAGCAUGUCAGUUAGGUCUUUGACAGUGGCUAUUAAGUGGGCGGGGGGGUGGGAAGCGAAAUUAUCCGUCAUCCCGCUAUGGAGAGUGUUUUUAAUGAGUUUAGCACGUCGCCUAAAGGUGAGUGCCAGAAGAUGUCCACGGAGCUGAAUUCAACAAUCGACACCCGAUCAAGCUCGUCGUGCACGGACGCACAUGCCUUGGAACCUGUAGCCGGAAACGUGUCUGAGGUUCUGGCAACACAGAUCUCACUUGAUGUUGGGUCUGUGUGCGGCUGCAACGCCGCUGAGUCUGCGGCCUCCAUGGCAGGGCUGAGCCUCCCGUCCUCGGAUGGCGUGAUCUGCUCCAGAUCUAGAGCCGGAGCGGUUGUAGGUUCCAUCUCCUGGGUGUGGUUCGAUGACAGAUUUAAGUCAUGUUCAUCGUGGUGACAGGGAGCGGCUACUGCCGCAGUCUCGAAUCCGUCGAAGAUCAAGUCUCCGCGGAUGUCCGCGACAUAGUUCAAGCUUCCAAAUCUGACCUGGUGGCCAGGGACGUAGCUAUCGAUCUGCUCUAGAUGGCCAAGCGAGUUGGCCCGCAGUGCGAAGCCGCCGAACACGAAGAUCUAUCCAGGGAGGAAGGUUUCUCCCUGGAGAAUGUUGUUGUGGAUGAUUGAGGGGGCCAUCGAACCUCUUGGCGGCAACAUAGCGGAUCUCUCAGUGAAAGCACCAAUGUCGGUGUCAAAACCAGCAAAUCUUGGGUAGGGGGUCCCGAACUGUGCGUCUGAGGUUGAUGGUAACAUGAGACAGAGAACACAAUGUUUACCCAGGUCGGGGGCCUUUCGAUGGAGGUAAAACCCUACGUCCUGCUAGAUUAGUAUUGAUGAGUAUGGGGGUUACAAGAGUUGAUCUACCACGAGAUCGUAAUGGCUAAAACCCUAGAAGUCUAGCCUAUCUGAUUAUGAUUAUCAUCGUUCCCCUCUAAGGAUCUAGCCCUCUGGUUUAUAUAGACACCAGAGGGAUCUAGGGUUACAUAAAGUCGGUUACAGUGAAAGGAAUCUACAUACUUGGUCGCCAAGCUUGCCUUCCACGCCAAGGAGAAUCUCAUCCGGACACGGGUAGAGUCUUCGGUCUUUGUAUCUUCACAGCCCAUCAGUCCAGCCCAUGGCUAACAGGCCGGACGCCCGAGGACCCCUUAGUCCAGGACUCCCUCAGUGGUGGCCAACAAAGGAAGAGGUCGGGGCGGUCAGCGACACAUGGCCUGCCGCGGGAGGCAGGGCGGGUGGCAGGGUCGUAGGAUCGACGGUGGGAUCGACGACGACGACAUGUAGAGAGUCGCAUGAAGUUUUACGCAGGAGAUGAAAGGUACUUGGUGUGAAGCAUUACAGAAAGGGCCAUCUUCCCCAUGAUGGAGGGGAAGUUUUAAAGAUUUUAUGAUAUGCUGUAAGAUAUUUGCGAGUUUAUCAAACUGUUGGAUCACUUUUCAGCCAACUUCUUCUAAACCACAAUUAUUUGACAGAUGUGGGAACUGUGUGUGUGUGUGGAGGGGGGGCUAUGCAGGAGUCUGGACAACAGUCGCGCAAGAAUUUGACACCCCGGGCCACCCAAUCCCCCUCUCGGUCCCAUUCCUUCCACUUCGCCCCUUCUUCCCCCUUUCUUUGCAUCUACACCCUCCACCUCCACCAGCGUCUCUGUACUUCUCCGGCUGCCAUAGAGGCAUUGUCGGAUGUUCGCACCCAACACCGGUGCACCAGCUCGCGCUGUCCACCAUGGAGUCAUUUGUACGUAGGUACACUUCGCCCCCUUGUCGACGACCACCAUGGAAAACACUACUCUCGGCAGGUGUUCGGUCAAAUGCCAUUGAGCUUAUUUUCGAACGCUAUGUCAUUUUUUAGAGUACGAAGGAUGUCGAGCUACUUGACCAUGGAGGAUGAGUAGUUGUGCGAUGCGUGGUUGGCCGUAUCCGUGGAUUUUGUAGGCAGGAGCGGAGGGGGGACCUUUUGGCAGCAAGUGAAUGAAUUGUUUCACGCAUGAAAGAACAGUGUGCCUUAUGACAUGUACAUCAUUCAAGAGCGCAACAUGAGGUUGUUAUCGUAUUGCUGGUACGCUAUCCAGACCAGCAUCACCAAGUUUUGUAAUGUGGUUCGUCAGCUGAAGGCAAGGUGGCCAUUACACGUGGCGAAGGACGAGAUCACAUGUUUUGCUUCCUUUUGCUCAACUUUGUUGAUUGAUUCAUUCACUCAAUGUUUGUCUACACAUUAUGUAGCCUGCCCGCGCUGUCGUGAUGUACCACAGGACAGAUGGACGGUCAUUUAAGUACACACACUACUGGAUCAAGUCGAAGGGGAGUAUGUGUGGGUCGACAUGGUCCAUUGAUAAAAAACUUGUUGGACAUCCGGUUAAUCUAGUCGAAUUUCAGACAUUGUUGUACCAGACUUAAUUUACAUGCUAUGUAUGAAUGAUUUGUGCUAUUUUCGAUCCGAACUUUGAUGAAAUCCGCCGUGUUUGCAUGAAUUUUGUACGGUUCAUAGAAACCUUAAUUGAAAUGUAUGGGGGCAGCGUUGGAUGGUGGCCUCCCGCAUCCGUGUUUGCGGACUGGUCCUCCUAUCCGCGAACAAAUGCGGGAGAAAAAUUGUCGUCGUUGUUGGAGAUACCCUUACCAAAGAAAGCCCUCUAUAGCAAGGCCAGCUUUGUGGAUCUAAUUCAAAACAACUCCAAAUGGCCGACCCAUUUCGUCCACCCAUGUCCCUUUGGGUCAAAGCAGAUAAAAACUCCAGCCCAACGCACCAACCCAAACUCAAAAGCGUCCCUAGACAUCUGCAACGACGCAUUUCAGGCUCAAAUUAGGGACGGGUUUGUGUCAGUGGAGACAUGAAACAGACACACGGUGGCCCCACAUGUCGACCGGCCAACCACCACAAGCGGUCAUAUUUAUUGUGGCCACCUACCGUGGGCCCACACGUCAAUCUACGAGAGACUUCAGCGGCAAUGGCAAGAGCAAGCUCACCCUCGGCACCAGCUCCUCCCACGCUCCUCUUCCGCUGCCGCUGGCGCCUGCAUGCCCCGUGAGGGAGCGACUGCACAUCCCGGUGCACCAAGCGCGAUGGCGCUGGCAGUUCCAGCAGCCGCUGCCGUACCCAAAUGUCACGCUGCUUCACUAAUGGCACCUCGAUCUACAACGCAUCCCGAUGCCGGUAGUGCUGCGGUCGCGCGGGCUGACGCCGAGGAGGUACGGUGGCGCCGGGAGCUCCUGACGCCGAAGCAACGUCGGCUACCUACGCACGCGCCGGACUCUCUCGAUUAGGAGGUCUGGUUUUCCCUCGAGCACGAGGAGCAACGCCAUCGCGACCUCCAUCACCACCACAUCUACCCCCCACCGUCCUCGGUCGUCAAGCCGGAGGAGGAGGCUAUCUACCAGGCGGCAUUGGCGGCGGCCAUGCAGACCUCCAUCGAGGAGGAGCGGCGCAAGGCGGCGGCGGAGGAGGCAGCCUACGAGGCGAGGCUGAGCCCAAGGUCAAGCCGCCAACGCCGGAGCCCGUGGAGCGGUACGUAUGGAUUGGCGGGCUGCGAGUGGGUCAGCCCCCUCCCCCCUCAAGUGGCUCGGCGCGACGCCGACGCAGGAGCAAGUGUACCUCGAGCAGUGGAAGGCCCGCGCACUGGCUGCAUAGCGGGAAGAGGGCGAGCGCCAAAUGCAGGUCAAGCGCCAGCUAGAGGAGGGAGCGUCGUGCCCACAGACAAGUAGUCCAGCUGGCGGUGCUGGCCAACGUGGCCCGGGCUUGGGAGGCGGCAUUCCCCUGGGCGGGCCCCGCGCCGGAGUUGGUCGACCCCACCAGCCCCCGGUCGGUCGACCUCACCGACCCCGGGUCGGACGACGAGGACGCCUAAGGCAGCGCGCGGCGGCGCAAGUUUUUUUAAUUAUGUUUAAUUAAUGUUUAUAUGGACUUUGGCCGACGGUUGAUCAGCUUUUAAUGUUUAAUUAUGUUUAGUUUGAAUGUGUUUGUUGGUUUUUUCUAAAUCCACGGUUAACACACGGGUUAACAUUCUAUGCAUGCAUCGACCGAAAUGAAAAAACGGGCACGAGUGUUUAUGCAGCCGACCCGAACAAUAAGAAGCGGACGAAACGUGCGUACGUUUGGCCGGUUGGAGUUGCUCUUAGUUUCACCACGUAGUACGUAGUGAAACGUUUACGAGGAGUCCGCUACGCAGUGAAACGUUUACGAGCAGUCACGGACUGGUGGCCCCGCUAAUUUAACAGCGGUCCAUGGGCCCGCAUGUCACUAUGUCAGAGAUUGUCCCUCGUAAUUUUGGCCGUGCACGCGGUGCAUCAUAUCCCAGCCGAAAAUACUAGACAGACGACACUCCAUGCACGAUGCAUGCACGAUUUACAAUCAAAUGGAUGUGAAGCACUUUAUUCCCUGAUUCAAUGGCUGGAUGUGGAGGGUCGUUCAUGCAUCGUCCAAAAACGUCGUGUGUAUAGCAGCUCUCUAUCCCAGCUACGCGCCUACGUCCCCAGUAGAGCUGCCCAUUGCACUAGUAGGUGAGCCCAUCAGUUCUUGUGGUGAGACAGGGAGAAAAUGUGGAUUUAAGCAUGCAUGGAAAGUAGCGAAACGAUUCGGCAUGGAGUGAUUGGGGAGAUGAAAUCGAUGAUGAGAUGAUUGAAGGUCCGAUUGAUGAGAUGGGAAGGAGGCGCUCCGUACAACUACUGCUACAGCAGGGGCAGUAGCAGCAGGGGCCGGCAUUAGCAACAGCGGGGGAGAUUGCGAGAUCUCUGCGACUUGAUGGCGCCACUCUUUCCUCUCACGCGGUCACGCCUAGUAGAAAAAAAAAAUGCUAUCUCGACGUCUUCUCCACUCCCUUUAAUCCAUUCCAUCGUGUACAUAUCACUGCAUUUGUUCAGACACGAACACUCAUCGUGUACUCCUCACGUCGAGGGCGAUACACAAGACACAUUGUCGGAGAAGCCUCAUCGGGAGUGUGAUACGAAGGCACGUCAACGAGGUCUUUUGAAGACCCGAUACCCAACACAUCCGGAAGGGACCAUCAGGGAGUGCAGCCGGUAUGCGUUGCCCUAGAUCGACUCAUCAAGAGCGUCGGGCCUGUCCGGCAACUUGGCUGUACAGCCAGGGCAUGCCCAGUUUUGCAUACAACAACAUAAUUAUCGUGCUAUAGAAUUCACAUACGACCUUGAAUGGAGAUGGCCUCAGAAGAAAGUUAUCCAUUUGGACGAGACGGACAAGUUUCAUGUUGAACGUUUUGUGAUUCGAAGUCAUCUUAAAGGUGUUUUGUCUCGUUUUCUAUCUUCUGCAGUAGAAAAAACAUGAAACUUUGCCCGGUCAAUGCCCAGACGCCCGGACCUUUGUCCAGCUUCAAUUCCAACCUCAAGCGAGAGGACACAUAUCAUGUGUUUUGCAGGUGCCCACGGGCUGUGGAUUUAUGGCGUACCAUGGCGGAGGUCUGGAGAAUUCCCGAAGUCACAUCCAUACGGAACACGGGGCCGGAAUGGUUCUUGCACCUCUUGGCAGAGUGUGACGAGGGUGACCGUCUCAGAGUCAUCAUGGUGAUGUGGAGGUGUUAGUUCAUACGUAAUGAGAUCCAACAUGACAAGAAACCACGCCUAUGGAGGUUUCUCGACGCUUCCUAUAGAGCUAUGUUUCCUCGCUGUUGGGUGUACAACAAUUCCUAACAGGAGACUGGGAUAAGGGGAAGAUGGUUCUGCAGCAUGAAGGGGCGGUGCGGCGAUCUUCGCAUGUGUCGACGGGACCAAAGCUUCCUCGGAAGUGGCACCCACCGCCGCAUGGGUGAGCUAAGCUGAAUGUCGACGGAUCCUUCGCCCACGAGGAUGGUACGGCGGGCUCCGGCAUGGUUCUACGCGGUCAUGAUGGCGCCAUCAUCUUCUCUGCUUGCAGAGCCCUGCGUUCGUGCCCUAACCCACUUCAUGCCGAGCUGGAAGGGUGCCGGGAAGGACUCGCACUGGCCUUACAGUGGACAGAGCUACUGAUCACCCUCGAAUGCGAUUGCCUGCAUGAAAUAUCGUUGAUCAAGGCGACGGGACAAGACCGAUCCGAACAUGCAAUGGUGGUUUCAGAGGUCAAGCUUCUUUUGGGUUCUAGGGAGUCUAGUGUUACUCAUAUCUCUAGAGAGCAAAAUAAUGUAAGCCAUGUUUUAGCAAAUUUCGGUAGAACGGAGGACCGUACGGUGGUUUGGCUCCGCUCUGGCCCGGCUAACAUCCCUAGUUUGUGUAGGGAUGAACUUCUAUGCUCUUGAGUAAUACAACCCUUUUACCCCCGCAAAAAAAAAUUCCAACCUCCCGAUGUCUCCAAGAAAUUACAUAGACAAUUUCCUAUAUGUCCAACUUUUCGUCCGACCCUGGGCAGGAUUGUCCGACCAUUCUGAGAUCCUACUAAUGCAGUGCAUUGUUUUGGCCGCGGGGGCUGCAUACAACUUCAGAUUGAGAUGUUCCGAAAAAAGCAAAGUUGUUGGCCUUGACGAUAUCAAGAAUUUUCAUGGUUAUCACUUUUCCAUUUGAAGUAAUCUUAAUUGUGUUUUCUCUCAUGCCAUAAUCUGGUGUCAGUACGUGCAUCUUUAAAUUUGUCAUAACUUUUGUGUCCGAGCUUCGUUUUGGACCAUAUUUAUCUCCAUUUUGAUAAUCUCAGAGAGUGCCAUCAAAUCUAGAAAUCAAAUUUUCAAAUGGACUUCAUCUCCGUAUGGAUUCAGGCCAUUCUUUAUGAUCAUGCCACUUUUGAAGGCCAAACAUUUUCCCUAAGAGUAGCUUGGUCCAUGUUAAUCCGCAUGAAGAUUAUGAUAUACUUGCUGAAUGUUUGAUUUUCGAGGCGCGAUCUUUUGCAUUUCCACCUAUCCAUAUUUGCUAGUCUCUCCGGUAUCAUGCAAUGCUCACUCCCACCUCGAGAUUUGGUGCAUCAUUUGCCGAUACAUCCAAACCUCGUGGGAGAACUUUGUAACGUCUCAAAUUUUAUUAAAUUGGGAUGUUAAUAGAAUCAUUUAUGCAUAUCAUAUUUUAUUGCAUCUUGGAGUUUUAUUAAAUGUUCAAAUAUUUUUCCACUCAAGAAAAAUAAAAGAGAGAAGAUAAAAUGACUUCUUCAAUAUAAAAAGAGUUGGAAUAGUAUUAGAAUAUUAUUUGGAGUUUUUCAAGUUUAUUUGAUAAUUAUUUUAUUGGCCAAAAGUGGAUUUGUUGCAUAAAAUAAAUAUUUUUAAAAUUAUAUGAGUAGAACAAAAUGUUCACUAUGCACCAUAUUAUCAACAAUGGUUUUAGGAAUUAUUCUGGUAUUUUUAUAAAUCCGUCUGGUUUUGUUUUUUUACCCUAAAGCAUUUUCUGUAAUAAAAAAAACAAUGCCAAGACCGAAACUCAGUUCGGCCCAGGAGCACAUCGACUAGGCCAACCCACCCUUCGCGCCAGCCGCCCACCCUCAUCUCUCUCUCCCGCACUCACCAAUAGGUGGGAGCCCCACGUUAUCAUCCCCAACCUCCCACCACACUGCUCAAAAUUAGCUAUCUCUCGCGCGCAACCGUCGGGUAAAGCUCUCGGGAUAGAGCUUAUCCGCCGCAGCCCCACACGCUCUGAGCUUGCCUAUAUAAAGACCAGGACCCCCUCUCUCAAUCUCAUCGUCCUGCUCAUCUUCAUGCUGCCCUCACCGUUGACCCUCCUUGUUUGAAUCUCGUCGGAGCCGAGCCACCUUAUCGUCGAUUUCGUCACCGGUAAGCCACCCGAAGACCCCUCGCUCUGUUCUUUUGAAACCCCGCUACCACACGCACCCAUUUGUCACCUUUUUGCCGCCUAGGUCAUGCCGGAGACGCCGCCUCAACGACCCCUCACCCGCCGGAGCACCAGAGCUCCACCGCGAUCCCCUGCUCGACCCCAUCAUCGCCGAGGACCACCGCCACCAUCGUUCAAACUGCCUCGUCGAGCCACACCCCUUCGUCUACUUUACCAACGUCGGAGACCGCCAAAGACGCUACCCCCUCAUCACCCGCCACCUGCAUCGCCGCCGUGUUCGUCGUCGACACAGUUGUCCCGUUGUAAGCCGCCGCCACUCCACUUGUUCAUUAGAUCGUAGAUUGACGGCUUAGAUUAGAUUAAUUUAGUUUUUUAUUUUUGAACCAGUAUGUGCUAAGUUUUAGAUGGCCGCUGUUUAACCUUGGCGGCGAAUGGGUAUGCACCAGUAGCAUCGUGCCACGUGUCCAGGGACCUAUUUGUGAUUAUUUUUCUUCACUAUUUAGUCCCUGAGUUUCACAGUUUAGUCCCUGAAUUUUGAAUAGCCAUAGUUUUGUGCUCGUAGAUCUAAACUAGAUGAAACAAGCGGCAAAAUGUUCAUCUCGAAUAGCUUUAUCCAGUGAACCCAUCUUUGCAAACUUUUUCAAAUUUCAAAUUGGAAUUUAUUUAGAUUCAAAUUUAAACUCUAUUUGGCCAUAUUCCUAAACCAUAUAUACGUUUGAAUUAAUUCUUUUUACACUUUGGAACCCUAGCCAAAUCCUAAGACUUGAAAUGGUAUGCGCACACAAUUAGGAUCUGUCCAUGAUAAUUUCACUCCUAAGCCAUGUAUAAACUUUAGUUCACAUCACAAUUUUUGAACCUUAUUUCACAUGUUGCUUUUUGCACUUAGAAAAUUUUCAUGAAAGUUAAGUGUGUUGGAUUUUUUAUUUGGGGUUUCCAAGUCUUUUCAUGUUGCAUGUUGUUUUGAUUCUCUGAAUGAUGCUUAUGUGUGUUUAUUUACUUUGGCGAUAGAUUAUCCAGAGUGUGAAUCCGAGUAUUAUCAUUCUCUAGAAUUGAACCACCUAUAUCAAGGCAAGUUUACAUCUUGAUCAUACUUUUAUUACCUAUGUUUUUAUAUGCACUUAGUUCUUUGUGGUAGGAUUGCAUGAUUAGGAUCUAUGCCGGAUGGCUAUGCUUCGCCUAGUAGUUCAUUUGAGGUAGGUCUGAACUUUACAACCUUUGUCGACACCGUGUAAGAUUCUAUUGCCUCACCAAAGUACACUGGGUCUAGGAAGUGUUGUUAUGGUGAGACAUGAGUGACAAAGUAGUAAUCAGGACCAAGACUUUUAAUGAACUACCUGGGCGGAAUAGGUUUGAAUGGUGGCGAAGUACAACGGGAGCAGUCAUGGGAAAUCCAUGGGAGUGCACACUAGUGGCCCGUCCGCUCAGGCUCAAAGGGAUCUGAUAACCCACAAGUAUAGAGGAGCACAACUGUUUUCGAGGGUAGAGUACUCAACCCAAAUUUAUUGAUUCAACACAAGGGGAGCCAAGGAAUAUUUGUAAGUAUUAGCAGUUGAGUUGUCAAUUCAACCACACCUGGAGAUCUAAUAUCUAUAGCAAAGUGAUCAGUAGCACAGUAGUAUGAUAGUUUUAUAGUGAUAGCAGUGAUAGUAACAAUAACGGUAACAGUGACAAUGGUAUUGGUAAUUUUGUAGCAGUUGUAACAAUAGUAACUUAGCAAGAACAAAAUGUGAAAAGCUCGUUGGCAUUGGAUCGGUGAAUUCGUUGGAUGAUAUUCAUCAUAUAACAGCCAUAACCUAGGGCGAUACAAAACUAGCUCUAGUUCAUAAAUAUAAUGUAGGCAUGUAUUCCGUAAAUAGUCAUACGCGCUUAUGAAAAAGAACUUGUAUGACAUCUUUUGUCCUAACCUCCCGUGGUAGCGGGGUCCAUAAGGAAACUAAGGGAUAUUAAGGCCUCCUUUUAAUAGAGAACCGGAACAAAGCAUUAACACAUAGUGAAUACAUUAACUCCUCAAACUACGACCAUCACCGGAAAGUAUCCCAAUUAUUGUUACCUUGGGGUUUACGGAUCAUAACACAUAAUAGGUGCAUAUGACUUGCAAGAUCGGAUCACAAACAUAUAUAUAAUGGUGAUAAUAUAAAUGGUUCAGAUCUGAAAUCAUGGCACUUGAGCCCUAGUGGCAAGCAUUAAGCAUAGCAAAGUCAUAGCAACAUUAAUAUCAGAACAUAGUGGAUACUAGGGAUCAAGACCUGACAAAACUAAAUCAAUUACAUGAUGAGUCUCAUCUAACCCACCGUCCGACAAGCCUACGAAGGAAUUACUCACUCCCGUCGGUGAGCAUCAUGAAAUUGGUGAUGGAGGAUGGUUGAUGAUGACGAAGACUGAUACGUCUCCAACGUAUCUAUAAUUUUUGAUUGUUCCAUAUAUAUUAUAUUAUCUGUUUUGGAUGUUUAAUGGGCUUUAUUAUACACUUCUAUAUUAUUUUUGGGACUAACCUACUAACCCAAGGCCCAGUGCAAGUUGUUUUUUUUCUAUUUCAGUGUUUCGCAGAAAAGGAAUAUCAAACGGAAUCCAAACGGAAUGAAACCUUCGGGAGAGUUAUUUUUGGAACAAACGUGAUCCAGGGGACUUGGAGUAGACGUCAAGAAAGGAGCGAGGAUGCCACGAGGCAGGGAGGCGCGCCUGUGCCCCUUGGGCGCGCCCCCACGCUCGCGGGCCCCUCGCAGCUCCACCGGCCUACUUCUUCCUCCUAUAUAUAUAUCCAUAUACCCCAAAAACAUCCAGGAGCACCAUGAAACCCUAUUUCCACCGCCGCAACCUUCUGUAUCCAAGAGAUCCCAUCUUGGGGCCUUUUCCAGAGCUCCGCCAGAGGGGGAAUAGAUCACGGAGGGCUUCUACAUCAAUACCAUAGCCUCUCCGAUGUUGUGUGAGUAGUUUACCAAAGACCUUCGGGUCCAUAGUUAUUAGCUAGAUGGCUUCUUCUCUCUAUUUGGAUCUCAAUACAAAGUUCUCCUCGAUCUUCUUGGAGAUCUAUUCGAUGUACUUCUUUUUGCGGUGUGUUUGUCGAGAUCCGAUGAAUUGUGGGUUUAUGAUCAAGAUUAUCUAUGAACAAUAUUUGAUUCUUCUCUGAAAUCUUUUAUGUAUGAUUUGUUAUCUUUGCAAGUCUCUUCGAAUUAUCAGUUUGGUUUGGACUACUAGAUUGAUCUUUCUUGCAAUGGGAGAAGUGCUUAGCUUUGGGUUCAAUCUUGCGGUGUCCUUUCCCAUUGACAACAGGGGCAACAAGGCACGUAUUGUAUUGUUGCCAUCGAGGAUAAAAAGAUGGGGUUUAUAUCAUAUUGCUUGAGUUUAUCACUCUACAUCAUGUCAUCUUGCCUAAUGCGUUACUCUAUUCUUAUGAACUUAAUACUCUAGAUGCAUGCUGGAUAGCGGUCGAUGUGUGGAGUAAUAGUAGUAGAUGCAGAAUCAUUUCGGUCUACUUGUUGCGGAUGUGAUGCCUAUAUACAUGAUCAUGCCUAGAUAUUCUCAUAAUUAUGCACUUUUCUAUCAAUUGCUCGACAGUAAUUUGUUUACCCACCGUAAUACUUAUGCUAUCUUAAGAGAAGCCACUAGUCAAACCUAUGCCCCCCGGGUUUAUCUUCCAUCAUAUAAGUUUCCAACCUAUUUUACUUUGCAAUCUUUACUUUCAAUCUAUAUCAUAAAAAUACCAAAAAUAUUUAUCUUAUUAUCUCUAUCAGAUCUCACUAUUGUAAGUGACCGUGAAGGGAUUGACAACCCCUUUAUCGCGUUGGUUGCGAGGUUCUUAUUUGUUUGUGUAGGUUCGAAGUGACUUGCGUGUAGUCUCCUACUGGAUUGAUACCUUGGUUCUCAAAAAUUGAGGGAAAUACUUACGCUACUUUGCUGCAUCACCCUUUCCUCUUCACGGGAAAACCAACGUAGUGCUCAAGAGGUAGCAAGAAGGAUUUCCGGCGCCGUUGCCGGGGAGGCUUACACCAAGUCAAGUCAAGAUUCGAUCUCCCGCCAACGUGUGAUUUCUGGCGCCGUUGCCGGAGAGAUCUACGCACAAGUCAAGACAUACCAAGUACCCAUCACAAACUCUUAUCCCUUUGCGUUUUCUUUGCCUUCUUCCCGUAUGUAUCUUUGUUUGUGUUUUCAUGUGACUUCUAUUUGCUUGCAUCUUUGCUUGCUAAAAAUCUAUUGAUAUGGAUCCACUUAAAGUGUUCUACUUGGAUCAUCUUUGAUCCUUAUAUGCUCGUGCUGAAACCCCAACUAGCCUGGUUGAUGGGAAAUCUUUAGGUGAGCAUGCUCAUUUUGUGCCUAACCGUUUGUCUGAAAAAUGGAGACUCUUAUGGGAUCAAAUAAACAGAUUGCUGUGUUAUGCUUGGAAUCUUUGUGAAAUUUAUGAUUUUACUUGUUGCUCUAAGAACCCUAAAAAACACCUCCCCUACCUAUGUGAGUUUAAUGAUAAUGAAAUCUUAUCUUCUUAUGCAAAGGGUGUUUAUAGUUACUAUGAUAUCGAACAAAUUGAAGAAUUUGUUGCUUUUAAGGGUGCUUAUGAAGUUGCUUCUUUGAUUGAAAAGUAUGAUGUUACUCUCUACGAAUCUGAAAAUUUUGACAUACUUAAAUAUUGCUAUGAAAACUAUGCUCAUAAUGUCCAUGUCAAAGAAUUUAUUGAAAGCAUGACCGCUGCUUGGGAAGAAAAUAAUGAUAUGCAUGAAUCUAUAGAUAAUUAUGAUUUCGAUGAUUUGAUUGAAAUAUCCCUUGAUGAACAUGAUGCUUGCUAUUCUUGUGGCCAUGAUGCCAAUAUUUAUUAAAAUGAGUUUGCUAUAGUUCCUUAUGUUAAACAUGAGAUCAUUGCUAUUGCACCCAUACCUGAUAGUUCCUUCAAUGAAAAGUAUGAUUGUAAUGAUGUUAUUAUAAAUUGUCUUAAUGACAAUUGUGUUAAUGAUAUGCAAAACCUCAAGCUUGGGGAUGCUAGUUUUGCUAUGACUACUAUUUGUUGCAAUGAUCAUGAUUGGGGUGAUUCUUCUUUUGAUCUUGAAAAUUUAUUUAAGCCCCAUGAUGAAUAUGAGAUUGAUAAUAGUGUUUGCAAUUAUUGAAAGUGGGUUUGGAAGAGUGUCAACUUUAGAUCCCACAUAUUUGGAGAAUGUUCAAUCUUAUGAAGUUUUUGAUAAAAGUGGGUUUGGAGAGGUCAUGACUUUAGUUAAUGUUAAUCCCACUAUUUUGGAAGAGUGUCAACUUUGCAUGCAUGUGGAUCGUGUUGAAAAUAUCUUAUGUGAUAGCUAUUUUGUUGAAUUUGCUUAUGAUCCCACAUGUAAUUAUUAUGAGAGAGGAAAUAUGAUUGUAGAAAUUUUCAUGUUACUAAAUUACCUCUCGUUAUGUUGAUAUUGCUAUUGUUUCUUUCCGCUUCCUUGCAUAUGCUAGUUUUUGCUUGCUAUGAUAAUUUGUUUGCCUAUAAGAUGCCUAUGCAUAGGAAGUAUGUUAGACUUAGAUGUGUUUGUCACGUGUUUUAUGAUGCUCUCUUUGUGCUUCAAUUCUUGUCUUUCAUGUGAGCAUCAUUGAAAUCUCUAUGCCUAGACCGAAGAUCGUCCUCUCCAGAGCCCCGAACGGUCUCCAAAUAUGGCCUCCCGGUGAAGAACAUGAGGUGGCGGCGGCUUCAUAUCGCAAAACGCGAUGAAACUUCCUCUCCUAUUUUUUCUAGCAUCGAAAUUAGGGUCAACGGAGCUUCUUGGGCCCCACUACCCACCAGGGCACGCCAGAGAGGGGUGGCGCGCCCUGGUGCUUUGUGGGCAGCUGGAGGGGGGGGCCCUCCGAUGGGUCUUGGUUCCAGUAUUUUUAUUUAUUCCAAAAUAAUUCUCCAAAAAGUUUCGUCCAAAUCUGAGAACUUUUAUUUCUAUGCAAAAACGACACCAUGGUAGUUCUGCUAAAAACGGCGUCAGUGCGGGUUAGUUUCAUUCAAAUCAUGCAAAUUAGAGUCCAAAACAAGAGCAAAAGCAUUAGGAAAAGUAGAUACAAUGGAGACAUAUCAGGAUCGUACAUGUUUUCAUGACUAGAAGCUUACGUGUGUAGCCACAAGCCAUUAUGGCCUCUAGCUUAGUUGGGCAGUUAGUGUGACCUCUUUCUGGGAUAGGCUAGCAGAUGUACAAUAUGUAGGUGUAUCGGCCUAUCAGUGGGUUAAGGGGGAAUACAUUUGAAAGACUAUGUCUCGGUCUUCCGAUCAAGGAGGUGGUCAAGUCUUGUGGGGAAAAGUGUGCAAACCUAUGUAGAGUCAACCUAAUCGAUUAGCCUUGUCCCCAGUUACAGACAUCUUGAGCACCUAGAAGUGGAAUUGUCGGGAGAUGUCAUCACCCUUACUUUAGGAAUAGAUUGAUUUGGGGGGGGGUACCAUCUCAAUCAUAUGCUAUUUGUAGUGGUAGAAUAAUUUCUUUUAUAAUAGGGAGAAAUCAACUUUAUGCAAAAAAAAUUAAACUGAGAGCUUUCCACCAGCCAAAUCGAAUGUACAAGUAGGAUUAUUAUACUCUUAUGAUAUGGCUUGCCAGUACAUUCCAUGUACUUACCUACACGGCUGCAACCUAUCAUGUUGCAAAUUUAUCUGACAAGGAUUAAGGUGUGGUAGGUCGAUUGUCUACACUUAGCUUUUGCUCGUAGAGUUGAUGGACUCAUUUACUUCUAUGCUUCCGCAAUAUUUGUUUUAUUUGGCCUUACGCCAUAUCUUUGUAAUAAAUUUGUAUUACUCCUGGACUAUCGAUGAAAUAAGGAUGUGUGUUAUUUCUGUUAUUUCAUCGAGUACUGUGUGUGCUAGCAAGUCGAUCCAAGGACUAGCACAGUAAGCACAGAGACUCCAAUCCUUUUUGGGUUGGGUCGCUACAAACUUCCUUUUGUUCUCCUACACAUAAACCAUCUACCUUCCUUAAAUUAGUCACCAUAUCUACUUAUCAUGGCAUCCAUGACCAUUCCAAGAUAUAUGUUCAUGCAACUUCCUUAAUCGUUCAUUACAUGAUUAGAGAUAUUUAUUUGCCUUGCAUGAUGGUUAGAAAGCUAGCAUGAUAUUUACAUGGCUUUUCCAUUUUUUAUUUCUUUGCUAUGCUAGAUCAUUGCUCACAUUGGUACCCUACCAGAGGCAUUCAAUAGAUGUUUUUGCAUCAUGUUUACUACUUGCAUCAUGUUCCAGUAUCUUUAAGCACUUCAGAAAAUGACUCGUGAUCAAAACCUCAUCCCCUUUUAUUAGUAUUGUCUUUCCUAUGGACGAAAUAUGAUAUUUGAUCACUUAACUGAAAAUGCAGAGUCUUGAAGCUUUGCCAAUCCAUGUCCUUUGUAGCUUGAGGGAUCCACAUCUCCAUCCAUCUACUUGCCUAAGUUGAACCUUUCCUGAAAUGUACUUGAGGAAAAAAAUAGUCCAACAAUAUGUAUGUUGACAUGAAUUACCAAAACCACCAAGGGAGCAAAUGUGCUUUCAAUCUCCCCCUUUUUGGUAAUUGAUGAAACCAUACAUCAAAUCUUCAAAUAGGAGUAUAUCAUAGAAUUACAUUAAAUCUUUAAGACACAUGUAACAUACAUAAGCCCCCCCAACAAGUGUGUAGUCUUUUUAAAGAUGAUUGCUUUUGGAAUGCAAAUGCACACUAGGGUAGGAAACUCAAUAUGUCACAUGCAUCUUGUCCAUAUACAUCAGAGUGAAGGAUGUGAACGAAAGUGUUCAUGUGUACAUGACGACUUCUUGCAAACAAGUAUGUGCAAUAAGUAAGAUACCAUCAUGCACAAGAGUGUGAUGCAUACAUUUACCUUUAGGUGCUUGAGCAUUGUACCCGAAGAAACAAAAUUGAGAAAAUACCAAGACUGGGAUGACAUGUAUGGGAAGUAGUAUCACAAGGUGAGUACUUAUUCAAGAGCUGACAUGUCCCCAAGAAAACAAUAAAUAUUUGCAAUAAAAUUCCAAGGAUUAUUCUCCCCUAAAAUUAUAACUUCUCCCCCCUGAAUCUGUGAGAUUGUAGAUACGGGGAGUAGGUAGGGUGAGACAAAAUCAAAUCAGAGAAUUUAUAGAAUGAUCAAGCAGAUAAAAUAUAUAUUAGUUGUAUGUUUCUCCCCACUUGGAAACAUAUAGGUCUCUCUACUCUUAUAAUUGUGCAUUCGCUUCAUAAAGAGACACUUUGCUGUAUACCUUAUACCUCUCUCUAAGUGAGGUUUUAGAUAAGCUUUGAUGCGAUAUCUCUCUCCUCCUUUGACAUCAAUUUUCAAGAAGGGUUUAGCUCAUGGUGAUGAAUCAAUUGGUAGGGUCCUUGAGGAGCACAUCUAGCUGAGAUAAUACUGAUUUUUGGUAUCUCCGAGUAGGAUCAAUCAGUGAGUCCAAGGUAACUUGGAGCCAGGGGUUGAUCACAUCGGUGGGUGCGAGCCAGUUCACCACAAUAAGACCUAUGAACUUGUUAAGCAAUCUAACUUGCAAACUCGGUGGCUCCGAUGAAUUUCGGAUAGGAGGGACCGACUUCACCACAGAAAGAAUGAUUUGUCAAUCUCAGCUCACUUUGCAAUAAGGUCUUACAAGGAUUUGCAGUGAAUUUAGAUAAGAUUUGCGAGGAAUUAAUAUAAGAAAGUAAAUAGCCAAAUGAAGUAAAAGUAAACACAAGAUGCAGUGACCCAACCCAAAUGGAUCGGUGCGUCUGUGCUUUUCUUUGCUAUCCCUGGAUUAGUUUGCUAGCACACACAGUACAUCGAUGAAAUACCCUAACAUCACAUGUUAAAAAGAUAAUGUAGAUUCAGAGUAUACCUCAAAUAACACAGCGGAAAAACAAUCAUAAGGGCGUGGACUUCCACCAAUGCCAACGAGAAGUUGAGUGUAGACCGCAACCCUACCAUGUAACUCUUACUUGUCGAAAUAAAAUCCCGCAACAUAAGAUAUUGCAGCCAUAUAGGUCAAUAUACUGAAUGUAUUGGCAAGUCACUCAUAAAAUGUCGGGGAUAAUUCUAUCUCUAUAUGCAAUUUGGUUGUUGGAGGCUCUGAGUUUAAGCUUUUGCAUAAAUACUAGUUUUUCCCUAACUCAAGAUAAAUCAUAAUAAGUAAAGUUGAUGUCACUAAUGAGAUGGUUCCACCAAGCAAUUCUCAUAUCCAAAAGUUGUAGGGUAACGUAGCAUAAAACAAAAAAAUUCCGACCUACACACCAGCCGAGGACCACUAUGGAGACUGCAUACAAGGCUUGAUCUAUAACCUCCCAACUAACAUAGCGCAGCGGGAAGUAGAGUCAAUGACGAUCGACGGUGCAGAUCCCCGCAGCUCGGAUUUAUAACCUCCCAACCGCGAGGAUGUAUACCCUCAUCUGCCCCUUGGACAACCCUCCGGGAGGUGGUCGGACAGUCCCCCGGACGGUGUCGCGGACAGCCCUUCGGGAGGACCUUCGAAACUUGGAUGGUCACUCAGAUAGCCCUUCAGAAGGACCUUUGAAACUCGGACGGUCACACGGACAGCCCUUCGGGAGGCACUCUCGAACUAAGACCAAAACUACGAUAUCUCUAUAGAGUUGCACACAUACGGUGUCAUCUAUCCAGCAGGGCUUCGUCGUCCAGAACUAGUUCCCACCAGAACCCAGACAACCUUUCGUCUCUACGAAACUAUUUUGCGGGGAGGGAGAGAGAAGACAGAUCAUUGCAAUGGAACUUGUAUGUGAGAAAGAGUGAGUGUGGAGAGUGCCUCUCCACCUCUAUUUAUAGGAAAACCCAAGGGGUAGGAGGCACAUGAAAAACCCAAAAUGUCCAUACUUUAUGUCACACAUAAAGGGCAUAAAGGGAUGACAAGUGGAGCCCCAUGGAAGAGCUGCACCCUCCAACGUCCCACCUUCAUGGGACCCCCAAAGGGGGUUCCUUGAUCCCCAAGUCCUUCUAGAAGCCUUUUGGGAAAAGCCCCAAAAGGUGGCUUUCCAUAAAUAUCCCAAAAGGCACUUUCACUAUUCACGACGACAUUUUUCAGCGUCCGUUCAAACUAAAAAUAUUUAUGUGGGCUUAGAACAUUUCUAGUACCCACUAAAAUAAUUUUCAACGCGUUCCGAAACAAUUCCGGAUUAAUGAUUUUCAUCUGCGAAAAGCAUAUGAAGUGGUUCCGGCAGCUCCGGAGCAUUUCCAGCUUUUAUCCCGGAAAAUUCGAGAAAGUUUGCAGAAUGACUCUGGCACCCUCCUAGAAUUAUCAAGCAUGUGCCGAAACCAAUUUGACUUAAUAGUAUAUCCCGAAAAAACUUUUUGGUUUCACCGAAACUCAUCCGAUGACCUCUCUCUGCGAAACUUCUCCGGUGUCCGAAACUUUUUUGGUGAUUUUCUCUCAGACUCCCUGUCUAGUAUUCAGCAGAUAGAUGACCCUUAAACAUGUGACCCUAUAGGUUCGGUGAAGUAUAGACAUGACCCGGAACCCCUUCCGAUCAAUGAUCAACAUCGGAGCCAUGGACACCCAUAUUGACCCCUAUACCCACACAAAAAAUAUUUGAGUGAACCUCCAGUUGCAGUGAGCUAUUCCUAUUUCUUCGUGAUAUGUCACAAACACCCGAGGUGAGAUUUAUUGCAUCCCCGUGGACAAACAAUUUGUACACCAUGCAAGUUACCUCAUUACCGGUUUUGUUCUCUUUUCUCGUUUCUGUGUUCCGGCAUCCCUAUGAUCAAAUCACACUGUGUCUGGACAGAUGAUGAUGGAUACCGUAACAGUGAGAGGGCCCGAGAAUAUCUCUCCACCAUUGAAGGAGCAAAUCCCAAUAUUGAGCUAUCUUGUUACUUGCCAUACUUUUCCGUGAACCCGUAAGCCGCCGUAAUAGCCACCUAGUUACGGAUGACGUUUAACAAACCCCAUAGUUCACAAAGCAAGCACGAAGGAACUCGAUACUCUCAUGGUCUAAGGUAUUGUGCAAACAUUAACUAUCUCUAUGAUAUUAACCAUAAACUUGUGACGAAAAGAAUCUCAUAGCAUACCAUCAACUUGGGUCGAUUCAACACAUGUGUUCUACCAACAUUGUGCCCUCAAAAAUUGCCAGCAUAGACAUAUGCCCAUGAUCAGGAAAAUGGGAUCAUCAUGCAAUACAUGAGCCAGUCUUAGAGGCAAUUCUAGGAAUACAUUUUACUGUUUAGUAUACCACACGUGCACAUGAGUUUCCCUCCGAGCCUCGUGGAUAUUGCAGACUCGAGAAUCAUUGCGGUUAUAACAUGGAACAAACAUAAUUAUGAACUUGGAGAUAAAUAAUAUCAUUUAUUAUUGCCUCUAGGGCAUAUCUCCUACAGACUCCCACUUGCACUAGAGUCAAUAAUCUAGUUAACGCUAAUGCACUUUACACCUAUGGCAUACAGGUGUAAAAAAUGCUUCGCAUGUGGUAUAGCCUGAUGUCCAUCGGAUCUGACAACUUCUGCUCCGUGUGUAUCUCUGCAUAUCCUCGCGUUUUCACGCUUUCACAAAAUUCAUAUUUUGUGUGGACUUGGCUUUGUAUAUAUGUGAAUCAUUGGUCGAAACCUGAUUCCUUAGACUGAGUUAUGGAGCAACUAUCUGCAAUAGUAUCCCAUUGACCAAAGCCUUCUUGGAACCAUACUAAGUUAAUGAAUGAACUAUACGAUUCAUCAUCUUUGUCUUUGUCGCUUCUAAAGCAGCAACAUACUUAACCUCUAUUAUAGAAUUCGCCACAGUAACUUGUUUGGAACAAUUUCCAACUAACUGCCCACCAUAUUGUGUGUUACACAAAACCCUCAAUUUAAAUUGAAAAUCGCAUGGAGAAAUGAUGAAGAUUUUAUCGAUGUAACCUUUUACAACGAACUCUUCAUGAUGUCCACUUGCAAGAAAACAUGUCAUCAGUGCUACUUUAGUACUCAAUGAUCCCUUUUCACUGUUGUCCCAUGAUCAGUACUUUUGAUCACUUUGGUAUCUAUACUCGCAACAGCUUGGGAGUAUUGGACAUAUCUGGUUGUUUUACAUACCAUGGAAUACAUGAUUAAUCCAAACACAGGAGUGUGUGAAAUCUCCAUCAUGUAUUUUUCUCAUUAGUGUUUUGGGACACUGAUUCUUGCAAAAACUCUUUCCAUGUGACUUCAGCAAGAAUCAUUCCUUGUCGUUCUUAGUGCUAAACAAUUUUAGCAUCUUGUCAAUAUGUAUUUUUGCUCAGCCCUAUUAGGUAAAUCUAUCUCCAUAGAUCAUUAUUCCUAAUAUCAAGGCUAUUUAGCCCAAGCACUUCAUCGAAACUAUUUUCAAAUGAAGUCCUAAUUCGUGUCAAGAAAUUUAUUUCCAAUUAACAAUGUGUCAAGCACACAAGGUUUUCAGAAAUAUUACUAUGCUCCCACUUAAUUUCUUGAAACCACAAGCAUCUUCAUUACCCAUUGAUGAAGUCAAACCCCUUUGACCAUUCCAUCAAAAACGAAGAUUCCAAUUCCAUUUUGCUCUCUUUUAUCCAUUGCUGGAACUCUGAAGCUAGCAUACUUACUAGCAUCCUCUGGACCAACAAAAUACUUUGGAUUGUAUCACAUACAAGUCCUAGGUUGUAUUUCCAUUUCAUGGAAAUUCUUUUGUCAUCCAUGUCUCAUAUCUCAUGUUUGAAAUAUGUAUUAAUUGCUAGUUUAACCUGAACUGAAUUUAAGCAUUGCUAUGGUGAGAUAAUCUCAUUAUAGUCAACUCCUUGAACUUUUUCUUGCAACAAGUCGAGCUUAAUGGAUAAAACAUUUUUAUCCGUAUUAGUUUAUAGUCCCAUUACAAUCUGUUAGACUCUAGGUCUUUCGGAGGGUUUAUCAAGAUUUUAAUCUUGAAUCAUUUAUGGAAACUAUCUCGGAUUACAUUGGCAUUUAGCCAAUUCCGUAGUCAGGGCCCAUCAAUGCUUCCUUGUGUAUCGUAGGUAUACUGUUGUCUAACAACAAUAUCUCGUUUGCGCACUUGAGAGGUUUGCACGAGCUUUGCCUACGCUGUUCAGCUACAAGGUCGAACGAAGUCCAUACAUCUCAUGUAGAGGCUUCCACAUCAGUCGCAGUAGGAAACUCUGGAAUUACUUCCAAGGUUCCAUUCCUUUAACCUGAUGACGAAGAUACUUGUUAUCUCGUCGAGUUGCACUAUCCUCCCACUCACCUUUUGCAAGAACUAUUCUCUAUAAAAUCAUACCAUUUUGUGGCAAAAUCCUUGGCCUCGGUAUAGUAGUGGUGGAAUACCCAAAGUAGAACUUGUAUGAAAUAGGCAUGUAACCUUUUACACAAGCCCCAUAUUCCAAAUGUUAAGAAAAGAUAUAUCAUGGUUGGUCGUACCAUACCAUGUCGUCAUUUCAACAAACCUAAUGGAGCUCUUUUCAGUGUAAAAACCUCAGUCUCUAAAGCAUUACUCUUUAAAAGUGAUAAUGGCAAAUUUAUUUAUGUAUCUUUGAUCUUACCAUGUCAUAAAUGGUUUUAUUACAUCUUCACAGACAUUUCACUCAUAGUGGUGUUCCAGGAGUUGUAAGUUAUGAAACUCUUUUCACAACUCAUCAGACAUUCGCUAAACUUGUAACUCAGAUAUUCCUUUCUGCAAUCAAAUUGUAGAAACAUAAUUUCCGUGUUACAAUAACUUCUACUUCAUUUUUGAAAACCUUUCGAAGGAUUUCAAAAGAUUCAGACUUACGUCUCAUCAAGCAAAUAUCCAUAUAUCUACUUGAGUCAUUUCUGAAGAUAUAUAAAUCCACUACUUGCAACAACAUUUAUUGAA